rnacentral:rRNA from 1 species
CCUACGGGUGGCAGCAGUGGGGAAUUUUGGACAAUGGGGGCAACCCUGAUCCAGCCAUGCCGCGUGUGUGAAGAAGGCCUUCGGGUUGUAAAGCACUUCGCGAGAACGGUCGGUACCGGAAGAAGAAGCACCGGCUAACUACGUGCCAGCAGCCGCGGUAAUACGUAGGGUGCGAGCGUUAAUCGGAAUUACUGGGCGUAAAGUGUGCGCAGGUGGCCGCGCAAGUCGAGUGUGAAAUCCCCGAGCUUAACUUGGGAAUUGCGCUCGAAACUACGUGGCUCGAGUGUGGCAGAGGAAGGUGGAAUUCCACGUGUAGCGGUGAAAUGCGUAGAGAUGUGGAGGAACACCGAUGGCGAAGGCAGCCUUCUGGCCACACUGACGCUCAUGCACGAAAGCGUGGGGAGCAAACAGGAUUAGAUACCCUUGUAGUC